rnacentral:rRNA from 1 species
CCGCUGCCGGCGACGUCGCGAGAAGUCCACUGAACCUUAUCAUUUAGAGGAAGGGAAAGUCGUAACAAGGUUUCCGUAGGUGAACCUGCGGAAGGAUCAUUGUCGAUGCCUUGCAAAUCUAAAGGGACCCGUGAACGUGUUGUUAUUAUUGGGGCCAGUCAACGAUGCUGUAUCGCGAUUGGGCUGUCCUCAGAGUCGAGAUGGAUCGGGCCUCGUGCAAUAUCCACUCGGUGCCACAACAAACCCCGGCGCAGGAUGCGCCAAGGAAUCCACUACGGUUUGGUUCGCCCUUCGGACCCGGAAACGGUGAUUGUUGGUGCGAAGUACAAUGUCGAGUCUAAAACGAACUCUCGACAACGGAUAUCUCGGCUCUUGCAUCGAUGAAGAACGCAGCGAAAUGCGAUUCUUGGUGUGAAUUGCAGAAUCCCGUGAACCAUCGAGUCUUUGAACGCAAGUUGCGCCCGAAGCCAUUAGGUUGAGGGCACGCCUGCCUGGGUGUCACGUAAUUGUAUCCCCAACCGACGUGCCUUGCGGCUGUCGGACGGGGGUGAAUGUUGUCUUCCUGUAAGCGCAUGGCUUCUGGUUGGAUUAAAAAUUAGGUUCGUGGCAGAGCUAGUACCAUGACAGGUGGUGGUUGAGUGCAAUCUCGAGGCCCGAUCAUGCGUGACUCUGCCAAAUUCGAAUUUUGUGACCCGUGAGCGGCACCGGUGCCCAAGAUGCGACCUUAGGUCAGGCGGGGCUACCCGCUGAGUUUAAGCAUAUCAAUAAGCGGAGGAA